UUUUUAAAAGACCUUCUUCGGAGGGUAUGCUUAAAGAGGGGCUUGCGUCACAUUAGUUAGUUGGUAGGGUAAUGGCCUACCAAGACGAUGAUGUGUAGCUGGACUGAGAGGUUGAACAGCCACAUUGGGACUGAGACACGGCCCAAACUCCUACGGGAGGCAGCAGUAGGGAAUUUUCGGCAAUGGAGGAAACUCUGACCGAGCAACGCCGCGUGAACGACGAAGUACUUCGGUAUGUAAAGUUCUUUUAUUGAAGAAGAAACAAUAGUGGAAAAACUAUCUUGACGUUAUUCAAUGAAUAAGCCCCGGCUAACUAUGUGCCAGCAGCCGCGGUAAUACAUAGGGGGCGAGCGUUAUCCGGAAUUAUUGGGCGUAAAGGGUGCGUAGGCGGUUUAAUAAGUCUCUAGUUUAAUUUCAACGCUUAACGUUGUCCUGCUAGAGAAACUGUUUGACUAGAGUGAGAUAGAGGUAAGCGGAAUUCCAUGUGUAGCGGUAAAAUGUGUAAAUAUAUGGAGGAACACCAGAGGCGUAGGCGGCUUACUGGGUCUUUACUGACGCUGAUGCACGAAAGCGUGGGGAGCAAACAGGAUUAGAUACCCUGGUAGUCCACGCCGUAAACUAUGAGUACUAAGUGUCGGGGUUAAACUCGGUACUGAAGUUAACACAUUAAGUACUCCGCCUGAGUAGUACGUACGCAAGUAUGAAACUUAAAGGAAUUGACGGGAUCCCGCACAAGCGGUGGAUCAUGUUGUUUAAUUCGAAGAUACACGAAAAACCUUACCAGGUCUUGACAUACUCUGCAAAACUAUAGAAAUAUAGUGGAGGUUAUCAGGGAUACAGGUGGUGCAUGGUUGUCGUCAGCUCGUGUCGUGAGAUGUUAGGUUAAGUUCUAAAACGAGCGCAACCCCUGUCGUUAAUUGCCAGCACGUUAUGGUGGGGACUUUAGCGAGACUGCCAAUGAAAAAUUGGAGGAAGGUGGGGAUUACGUCAAAUCAUCAUGCCCCUUAUGAUCUGGGCUACAAACGUGAUACAAUGGCUAUUACAAAGAGUAGCUUAAACGCGAGUUUUUGGCAAAUCUCAAAAAAAUAGUCUUAGUUCGGAUUGAAGUCUGCAACUCGACUUCAUGAAGUUGGAAUCGCUAGUAAUCGCGAAUCAGC
rnacentral:rRNA from 1 species